GAGCGCACCCUUCAAUUGAGUAUCCCAAGAGCACCGCACAGAUGCACGUUUGAGCAGAUGUACAGACCUAUCUACAAAUACACAGAAAAACUACUCGCUGGAGACAAACCCAGCGCACACACACCAGCUACUGAUCGCACCUUCCCCUACACCCCUGAGCGCAGGUAAAUUAAAAGAUGGGAAGUUUUGUACGAAGUCUCUUCACGUUACUACUGCCAGACAGAAGCCAGUGAGAACAGCUGCAAAUCAGAGACACCAACUGAGCACAGCUGCAGCUGCACCAUUUACCUUCACCUCAUCCAGCCGCCCUUAAGUUUGCAGAAAUGUGGACAUACACACAAAGUGGGUGAAGUUCAAACCUUGCAAAAAUGACAGAUCUGCUCGAGUCCUCAUGACCUGUUAAAUUCCUACAGCACAAGGUGGAUGGCUGCGAGAGUGGUCUAGUAGCUAGCUUGAUCUUUGAGGAGAAGCAAAGCUUUAGCUCUGAAAGUCAAGUGCUGCAUGACCUGGAGACUUUUUUUUACAAAGCAGACAUCAGAAAAAAAACCAAAGGAAUCACUGUCUCGCACAGGAAGUAAAUAUACUUGGUAAACAGGACUUGGUUGCUUACUUCUGAGGUCUGAGAGCAUGAUGAGCAUGACUUCUCACCUUAGAGAUGCGUUGGCAGGGGGUUGGCCCCAAGGAGGGACCUGUUGGGCCUCGGAGGGAGCCAGGAGUGUUCCCUAGACAAGCACCAGCCAUGGGGCACAGUCCAGUGCUGGGGUAGCAGCAGUCCAGCGUGGACACCUUUCCCUCAAACCAUCACUUGGAUCCAGUCGCAGGAUGAAGGCUUCUGAAUUCAACCAGAAAGAAGAGCUGGAAACCACAGAGCAUAGACCACCUGGGGACAUCACCAGAAUUGGUCACAGCAUUUCUCAGAUGGCGUGAGAUGUUGUAAAACCCAGGAUUAAUCCCUCACAGCCUCUCCUUGGGCUCUGGGAGAAAGAGAGAUGUCACCACAAGCUGAACCCUGCAUCCACACUCAGCAUCUGUGCUGUGAAAACAUCUGUGCUGCAAUUCAGAUGCCCUUUCAGUGAUAACACCCCCAGUGCUGUCAUCCUCACUUGUGUGUGUCUGGCAAUAAUUGUUUAAGAAACCGCUAUUUCUGACUCACGAUUCCAGUUGUGAGUGCCUGUACAAUGAAAAGGUUAGUGUCUAUAUUAUUUACAUGUCAGCACAGGUCAGAGGCACUUACAAAGGUUAAGAAAAAACAAAUAAAGAAGAGUGUGACCUA